GACAGAGGGUGCAAACGUUGUUCGGAUUUACUGGGCGUAAGGCGCGUGUAGGCGGCUUUGCAAGUCGGAUGUGAAAGCCCACGGCUCAACCGUGGAAGUGCAUCCGAAACUGCAUAGCUGGAGUCCCGGAGAGGAAGGUGGAAUGCUUGGUGUAGAGGUGAAAUUCGUAGAUAUCAAGCAGAACACCUGCGGCGAAGGCGGCCUUCUGGACGGUGACUGACGCUGAGACGCGAAAGCGUGGGGAGCAAACAGG
rnacentral:rRNA from 1 species